AGCAGCCGCCGCGCAUAGAUAGCCUCUAUGCCGAGGAUGACCUCCUGCGCAUAUACUCGAAUCUGCCAGUUCAAGGACAUGUAUAAAAAGACACCCUUUGCUUUCAUACCAGAUUCAGACCAUGAGCAUUUUUGACAGUAUAAAUGGAACUGAAAAGAGGAUCCAACCGGGCCGCAGAGUUCCAAAAUUUGUAAUAUCCAUUAACUGUGAUAGGAUAUCUAUGAUCACAUUUGCUAAUAGGUUUGUGAAUGAAAUAAUAUAGCAGCGCUAAUAAACUUGACAGUGCUGUUUAGUACUACGAUUAGAACCCCUGACCAGCUAGCAGUGACUUCAGUGAGUAGAGAAUGCUCAUCGGGAGCUUCCCCUGACGAAUAUAGAUUCGAUUCAUUCGCAUCGCAGUGACGAAUGCUUACAUUUUCUCCCGAGUAGAGUUGCGCAGCAUCAACAACUGGAUUUCGACUGCCGCGGCUAGGCCCACUGCAUCCUGCAUCUCGAUUUGCCGCCGCGGCAUCCCCGACGGCGCCGUCAAACACCGGCGCCUUUGACCUGAUUCACCGGCGCAGUCUGGGCGAGCCUCACGCCGUCCCCGUCAACCCCAGUCUGGACGAGCCUCAAUGGAUGCGAGAUGGCGUCGCUGAAGGAUGGCCCACCUAAGAGGAGCGGCGGCCGGAGGCGAGGGUGAGGUGGGGAAACGGAUGACGGACUACACGAGGCGGGGUGAAUACAGGUGGUGGGCCAACGGCGUUCUCCUCCAAAAUUUUAUGUCCU
rnacentral:lncRNA from 1 species